CCAAGCAGUCCAGGAAACCACCCAGCCAGAAGCCAGGACUAGGGAGACCGCCAGCAGCCUCUGACUUGCAAGUCAUCUAGCCCCUGCUGUGGGUCUCUUCUCCCCGGAGCAUCAGGAGAGUGGAUCCUGCUGCCUUUCCAAAGGGCUCCAUGGAGGUGACCCUGUCCAAUUCAAGCCUGGAGGAUGAGGCUCUGCAAUGACGCCCCCGAGGGCGCUGCCCAGCAGGAGGCAGAGCUGCUGCGAGAAGAAGACCCAGGAGAUCUCGGGCAGCGAGCUGCGCGUCUGGCAGCGCAGGUCCAGCAGCGUGGGCCCCAGGAAGGCGAUGCACAGGCCGAAGCUGAAGAAGACGCUCCAGUAGUUCCGUGUCUUUCCAGUCUCCUUAUCCGGCCCCCCAGGGUCGGAGGGCCCUGGACGCCCGUCGGCGAACUGGGCAAACAGAGCCCGAGACGUCCGGAGUGCUUUGAGAGCCUGGGGGAGAGGGGCAGACAGUUGUGCCCGGGAAGGCUUCAUGGAACAGGUGAUUACUAAACUCGAUCUGGAAGGGCAAGUAUGUGAAAAAGUUUUGCUCAUGUGCUCUUUCUCCUCUUUCUCUGUCGCAUCUGUUUUCCAGCACCAUGACAUUGUCUACCUCCUCCAGGAAGCUUUCUCAGAAAAAUAUCUGUCUAGCUCCCAAGUCCCAGCAAGCCCCCUCCACUCCUUUUGCCCUACAGUCUUUGUAGUGUCAGCUGUUACAUUUCAGCAAGUGUUAGCUUCCUGUUCCUGCCACCCUGCCUCUCCUGCGGCCAAUUAAACGGACUUACGCCAGCACGCUGAGCCUCCCAGGACUGCUGUAGUCAGUGCUCUGACCCCAUGGAAGGCCACGGUCAACCCACAUCUCCAUCAGAGACUCCUGGACACUCACAGAGUACAUCAUGUGAAAUGCCAACCUGGAUGAAGCACAAAUUGGAAUCAAGAUUGCCGGGAGAAAUAUCAGUAACCUCAGAUAUGCAGAUGACACCACCCUUAUGGCAGAAAAUGAAGAAGAACUAAAGAACCUCUUGAUGAAAAAAUGAAAGAGGAGAGUGAAAAAGCUGGCUUAAAACUCAACAUUCAGAAUGCUAAGAUCAUGGCAUCUGAUCCCAUCACUUCAUGGCAAAUAGAUGGGGAAACAAUGGAAACAGUGACAGACUUUAUUUUCUUGGGCUCCAAAAUCGCUGCAGAUGGUGACUGCAACCAUGAAAUUAAAACACCCUUGCUCCUUGGAAGAAAAGCUAUGAUCAACCUAGACAACAUAUUAAAAAGCAGAGACAACAAAGUUCUGUCUAGUCAAAGCUUUGGCUUUUCCAAUAGUCAUGUAUGGAUGUGAGAGUUGGUCCUUGAAGAAGGCUGAGUGCUGAAGCAUUGAUACUUUUGAACUGUUGUGUUGGAGAAGACUCUUGGACUGCAAGGAGAUCAAACCAAUCAGUCCUAAAGGAAAUCAAGAAGACUCUUGAGAGUCCCUUAGACUGCAAGGAGAUCCAACCAGUCCAUCCUAAAGGAGAUGUUCAUUGGAAGGACUGAUGCUGAAGCUGAAGUUCCAAUACUUUCGCUAGCUGAUGCGAAGAGCUGGCUCAUUAGAAAAGAUCCUGAUGCUGGGAAAGAUUGAAGGCAGGAGAAGAGGGAAACAGAGGAUGAGAUGGUUGGGUGGCAUCACCGACACAAUGGACAUGAGUUUCAGCAAGCUCUGGGAGAUGGUGAAGGACAGUGAAGCCUGGCAUGCUGUAGCCCAUGGGGCCACAGAGUAGGACGUGACUGAGCGAUUGGACAGCAGUACCCUUGCCUUAUGCCUCACAGAACACCUUGCAGAUAACAAGCCCUGGAUACAUAGCUGUGAACUGAAUUAUUUACAUAACACCUUUUUGAUUUUUUUUUAAUUUUCAUUUACAUAUCUUAUCUCCUAGUAAUACCAAGUUUCCCAAGGGCAGAGUCUGUCUUUUGUGCUGUGUAUUCAAAUGUCUUGCCCUAUCUAGUUACCCUGUGGUCAUUCUUAAAUUUGAAAGAAAACCUUGGGUAAUCCCAGAGCCAUUCUCUGAUUGACCUCCUUGUAAAUUGGAAAGAAAUUACCCCUGUUUCUCACAAGCUUUGGAAAGCAGUUUGAGACCUCAAAAUAUGAAAAAAAAAAAAAGUGACCUGGCAGAAAGAGUGAAGAGUUCUCAGAUUCUUGCUUGAAAUCUAUUCUUUUGCUUCUAGUGUCACCCUCUCCAGGAAGCUUUCUCUAAGUUUCCUAGGGUCCCUCCUUGGGGCUCCCAACGGAAACCAUUGAUAAUGAACUGUUUACUGCUACUGUUUCAAGGCAAGGGUCAUGGGGCUUGUUCUUCACUGGGUGCGGGGAUUGACUCCUUGGUGAGAAGUGUUUGCACUACUCUGAUUCCUGCUUAUACUUGGAAGGUUACGAGCAAUAAACCAGUGGCUUGUCUUGGACUAUGGAUAGGUAAUAUAAAUCCUGAAAAUACUCAAAGUGAAAGCAAACAAGAUAAUAUAACACAGUGUGAAGUAAGAGCUAGAUACCCUCACCAUGAUUCUUUUACAUGCAUCAUAGCUCCCCAGAUUCCUUAGUGUAUAAACCUAUGGUGUACAUUUUGUUUUUGUUGCUGUUUCUAUUAGCUUUGAAAACCUUAAAUAUUACAAAAUGAACAAAGAGAAAAGGUCUGACUAUAGCAAUCUAGAGGGGGAAUUCCUGGGACUUGGGCCUAAUUUCAUGCUUGGCAGAAUCCUCUACAUGACCACGGAGCUGCCCUUGGUCCCCAGGGCCCUCUGUUCUCUGCUUCCCAGACUCUCUUAAGGCUAGGCAGGAGCAACAGAGUUAAGUCUCUGUUCAAGAUCAUUAAGCAUAUCCUGCAGUUCCUCUGGCUUUUCAGGGCAUGAGACUGGCCCUCCCUCACUUCUGAAUUUUGUCUACUUGUCCACAUCCUCACCUGGCUGGCCAGACUGUGGAAAGUAGAUUGGUAGGCUCUGUCUGGGAUUGGCAUAGGGCAGUUGGCAAAUGCCUUGGUGCCAAGGACUGACCCCAGAUGACCCAGCCACCCUACCACACAUGUAGCAAAGAUGGGUGUGUGUACAAAGAGCCUUCUUUCUCAAGUAUCCAGGUGAACUGAUCUUUAUGGACGGUGAAGAAGGUGGUUGCUGCAAGGUGCCAAGAGGGAUAGGAGGGACAGGAACAGGCAAAAUGGCCCAGAAGCAUCUUAAAAAUUAGACCAGUGGCCACACAUAUCCUGGAGAGAAUGUUGCAUAGAACCUGACAUUUAGUCGGUGUCUGAAAGUGUUAGUUGAAGCUAAUCUAACUUUGAAAGUUGAAAGGACUCUCUGAAAUUAUCUAGUGCAACCUCCCACUCAGAAACAGAAUUUUAUUUACAGCAUCCUUGAAGGUGGCCACAGCUUUAGUGUGCUCAGGCUUGAUGUCAGAAGAAUCUAGUCUAAGCUAUAAGACCUGCGAAAAAGUGAGCCUCAGGGUUUUUCUUCUCUAAAAUAUGAGGAAUAAUUCUUCCCUUACUGAGAGAGAAUGUAGACACAGGAGCUAGCACACCAAGUUCUCAUUAAAUGAUAAUUAUUAUUAUUGUUAUUAUCAACACCAAUUCAAACUGAUCUCCUAGUCUUGUAUGCUAAAACAGUGGCUAAUGAGACCAAGUCUGCCUAAAACUGAGUCCCCAUUCUAAGUCCUCUCUGUCCAAAAGUAUUCCCCAUCUUAUCCCUUCUGACCUCAAUCCUGUACUAACUAAGCACUAGUCACCCAGAGUUAGAGGACUAAAAUUGCUGUUGACAAUAACAUUGUUAAUGUACAGACUCAGGUUGCUUCUCCAGGCAAGAUGAGCUAGCAGAACCCUGGGUCAUGGGCCACCAGCCCAUGGUGGCCCUUAGGCAUCCUGACCCCUAAAACUAUGUACUAUGAUUAAGAAAUGUCAUAAGAUGAUGAUUAAUCUUUUUCUUCCCCUUUAACAACCCCUAACUUAGAGACUUCCCUGAUGGUCCAGUGGUUAAGACUCCGUGCUCCCAAAGGAGGGGCCUGAGUUGGAUCCCUGGUCAGGAUCCCACAUGCCACAACCAAAGAUCCUGUAUGCCACAAAGAAUGUUGAAGAUCCCAUAUGCUGCAACUAAGACCUGGUGCAGCCAAAUAAAUAAAUAAAAAUAUUUUUUAAAAAUUAAAAAAAAAAUAACUCCCAGUGGGAGUGGAUCUGAGGCUUGCCUCCCACUCCCUUGUUUGAUGCCCUGCAAUAAACUCUUACUUUGCUGCAAAUGUCUACUUUCAGAGUUCGCCUUUCUAAAUGGCGGGCUCAUGAGCCCUUUGGCCAGGUUGUAAUUUGGCUACCAUAAAGGGACCUCCCAGGUUCCCCUGAAGUUAGUGCCUGUGGUCUGCAGCCCUUUGCCAGUGUGGCGCUUCCCUUAGCAGAUCCAGCAGCUGAGGCUCUUUUGGCCAAGAUAUCCGAUCAGGGAAGUCCCUCUUUGACCAAGAGUCAGCAACCCUAGGCAAUAUUCCAGGCUUGCAAUGAAGGAAUGGUUUUUGGAUUGGAAGACCUCUAUGGUAAAGAACCAGCAAAAUGGUACGGGCUGAAAACUUUUAUGUUUGUAGCUUAAUGCCCUCCUAGGUCCAUUGCUGGGUACUGAAGGAUGAAUUGGGUUUGAUAAAAGUAUGAUCCUGGGACUUCUUUGGUGGCACAGUGGAUAAAGAAUCCUCCCGCCCGUGCAGGGGACAUGGGUUCAGUCCCUGGUCUGGGAAGAUUCCACAUGCUGUGGAGCAACAAAGCCUGCGCACCACAGCUAAGGAGUGGGCACUCGUGAGCCCAAGUGCUGCAACUACUGAAGCCUGUACGCCCAGAGCCUGCGCUCUGCAACGAGAGAAGCGCCUCAGUGAGGAGCCCGCACACCACAACGAAGAGUAGCCCCCGCCUGCCACGGCAAAGAAAGCCCACGCACAGCAACGCAGACCCC